rnacentral:lncRNA from 1 species
GUUCACUGCAGCAGCAAACUCUGGAUGAUUCCGGCUCUGAGAGGGGUGUGGCCACCGCGGGUGAAGCUGACAUCACUCUGUGCUCUGAACGGCACGAAGCCCCUGAGACCAAUGCAGUCGUUUCUCCGCCUGCACCGGCGGUCGGACCGCUCACCGGCGAUCUCCCUGAUGGGUCCACAAUGUUGAACCAUGACUCCAUAAGGGGGUAAACCCGACCGGUUUGAGAGCUGAACCGGGUUUACCUACUGAUCCAACGUCUGCUGGAAGCGGUUGUUUGAAUUGCAUUCAAGGCGUUGUGGGGCUUGAGAAGGGAA